CGCCAGACUCCACGGGAGGCAGCAGUGAGGAAUAUUGGUCAAUGGCCGAGAGGCUGAACCAGCCAAGUCGCGUGAGGGAAGACGGCCCUACGGGUUGUAAACCUCUUUUGUCGGGGAGCAAAGCGAGUCACGUGUGACUCAUUGAGAGUACCCGAAGAAAAAGCAUCGGCUAACUCCGUGCCAGCAGCCGCGGUAAUACGGAGGAUGCGAGCGUUAUCCGGAUUUAUUGGGUUUAAAGGGUGCGUAGGCGGAGUGUCAAGUCAGCGGUAAAAUUUCGGGGCUCAACCCCGUCGUGCCGUUGAAACUGUCGCCCUUGAGUGAGUGAGAAGUAGGCGGAAUGCGUGGUGUAGCGGUGAAAUGCAUAGAUAUCACGCAGAACUCCGAUUGCGAAGGCAGCAUACCGGCGCCCUACUGACGCUGAGGCACGAAAGCGUGGGUAUCGAACAGGAUUAGAUACCCUGGUAGA
rnacentral:rRNA from 1 species